ensembl:misc_RNA Metazoa_SRP Metazoan signal recognition particle RNA
GCCAGGCGUGGUGGCUCACGCCUGUAAUCUCAGCACUUUGGGAGGCUGAGGUGGGAGGAUUGCUUGAACCCAGGGAGGUUAAGGCUGCAGUGAGAUGUGAUUGCGCCACUGCACUCCAGCCUGGGUAACAGAGCAAGACUCCAUCUCAA